UGGGGAAUAUUGCACAAUGGGCGCAAGCCUGAUGCAGCAACGCCGCGUGAACGAUGAAGGUCUUCGGAUCGUAAAGUUCUGUUGCAGGGGAAGAUAAUGACGGUACCCUGUGAGGAAGCCCCGGCUAACUACGUGCCAGCAGCCGCGGUAAUACGUAGGGGGCUAGCGUUAUCCGGAUUUACUGGGCGUAAAGGGUGCGUAGGUGGUCUUUCAAGUCGGUGGUUAAAGGCUACGGCUCAACCGUAGUUAGCCUCCGAAACUGGAAGACUUGGGUGCAGGAGAGGAAAGUGGAAUUCCCAGUGUAGCGGUGAAAUGCGUAGAUAUUGGGAGGAACACCAGUAGCGAAGGCGGCUUUCUGGACUGCAACUGACACUGAGGCACGAAAGCGUGGGUAGCAAACAGG
rnacentral:rRNA from 1 species